UUAAGAUGUAUUCCGAGUUGCGAGCUUUACUUCUGCUCAGUAUCUUGGCUAUUUGCAUUCAUUUGGCCGUGAACCAAGACGAAAAUGAAGUCAUAACUGAAAGCGAACUCAAACACACGACGCCAGACGAUUCACAAUACUAAAAUCUAACUUUCGGCCAUCAACAGAGACUACGAAUCAUAAUACUAUGCGGAAAGCUACAAUCGUAGGUUGGCUAAUAAAAUGA